rnacentral:misc_RNA from 1 species
AUAAAGCAAAGUAUCUUAUUCAAACCUGAUUUCUUUGUGCAUUUUUUCUGUGUUUUUUAUAUGUGAUUUAUUUGAAUUACCAUCUCAAUCUUGACUGGAAUAUUAUAUAUUAUAACAACGUUGCUGAUUGUUUCUAACCUCCCUCCUUUCUUAAACCUUUUGUAAUUACAUGUCUAUAUUCUAAUGAUCUCAAUAAGAAACAUGGCGUUGUUUUAAUUAUUUUCCUGCCUAAACCAUGAGAUGAUAUUAUUAAUUUAAG